AACGUAGGACACAAGCGUUAUCCGGAGUUACUGGGCGUAAAGGGCGUGUAGGCGGAUCGGUAAGUCUACUCUGAAAGCUCCUGGCUAAACUGGGAGAGGCGAGUGGAGACUGUCGGUCUAGAGUGAGGAAGAGGAAAGUGGAAUUCCGCGUGUAGUGGUGAAAUGCGUAGAGAUCGUAAGGAAGACCAGUGGCGAAGGCGGGUCUCUGGACAGUUCCUGACACUGAGGCACGAAAGCGUGGGGAGCAAACAGGG
rnacentral:rRNA from 1 species